rnacentral:rRNA from 1 species
CCUACGGGGGACAGCAGUGGGGGAUAUUGCACAAUGGGGGAAACCCUGAUGCAGCGACGCCGCGUGUGGGAAGACGGUCCUCUGGAUUGUAAACCACUGUCCCCAGGGACGAAGAUGACGGUACCUGGGGAGGAAGCUCCGGCUAACUACGUGCCAGCAGCCGCGGUACUACGUAGGGAGCGAGCGUUUUCCGGAAUUACUGGGUGUAAAGGGAGCGUAGGCGGGACUGCAAGUUGGGGGUCAAAUCUUGCGGCUCAACCGGUAGCCGCACUCAAAACUGCAGUUCUUGAGUGAAGUAGAGGCAGGCGGAAUUCCUAGUGUAGCGGUGAAAUGCGUAGAUAUUAGGAGGAACACCAGUGGCGAAGGCGGCCUGCUGGGCUUUUACUGACGCUGAGGCUCGAAAGUGUGGGGAGCAAACAGGAUUAGAUACCCGUGUAGUC